rnacentral:lncRNA from 1 species
AGCAACCUGCUCGGGACCCCUCUCUGUGACUGUGAGCUGUUCUGUUCUUUUGCCUAUUAAACUCCUGCUCCAAACUCACUCGAUGUGUGUGUGCAUGUCCUUGACCUCAAUAUCUGGUCGUGUGACCAAGAACCUCAGUAUUCACCCCAGACAACAAGGCUGCUUCAUUUUGAGGGCUCGUCUGGGAUUUGAAGGUGACUUCAUCAGAAUGGAAAGUCUCUGGCUGACAAACAAUUGCCUCCUCAAAUACCAAGCUUUGCUGCUAAAGGGAUCUGCAGUCCAGCUGAAAACCUGCCCUUGCCUGAGCCCAGCCACUUUCUCCCAGAGAAAACUGGAGAACCUAAACAUGAUUGUGAACAGAAUGGCUUCCGGUGGCCUGGGACUCCUUGGGGAAACAGAAAAUGCACCACAAAUCCCAUUUUAGGAAAAAUCUGUUUUCCUCGGAGCCCCUGGAAUUAAAGAAACCAUCAAGCUUCAGAUGGUGCUGAAAAUGGAGCCGAAAAUGAAACUGCCCUCCUACGAGGGACCCUUAAAUCAACCCCAGGAGGAGCCCUAGCUGCUGUUCCCCACACAACGCCACUCUCCAGCAGGAAGUAGCCAGAAGAAAUCGUCACCCAGUUUCCCCUAGCAGCAGUUAUGGAUUUCAUUCCUGAGGGGGGAAAUAUGUUAUAGGAGGCAGAAAGAAAUGAUUUAGGUAGACAUUUAGGGUAAAGUGAGUCCCCAGCAGAAAACUUUCCUUUUAACAAAAAGCAGCUCAAAAAUAGCUCCCUUUCUAACCUCAUGCAGUUCAAAAAAAAAGCACUUCUCUUCUAACAACAAGCAGCCUGAAAGUUCAGGCUGUAAAACACAGAGAAGAUGGCUUGAGCACAGAAAGGGAGGGGGAAGUCUCCUGGGUAAUCACCAAACUUCACAUUUACACAGUGGGCCCCAGUAAAACAGUGGGUCUUAAUAAGCAUAUUCCUUCCCUUUAGGCGCAGUAAGAUUGAGGAGCUAAAAACAGACUUGGGUGGAUGUCUGCAGCUGCAAGAAGAUGUGUGGGAACAGACACAGAAACUCUCCCUCCCAGAUAAGCAAGACAAAGAAACACAGAAUAAGAGUCCAUCUAUGUGGUCAGAGAAUGGGAUAAGAGCUGAUUUAAAAAAACUCUGCUCUAUAUAGAAGGCACACCUGGUCCCAACCAAACCACUGGACCCUAGGAGGAUAAGACCUCCUCUGCUCAUGAGCCCCCUCCUCAGUAGCCCAUUUAUAAAAACCCUGACAAUUUUACUACCACUUGGCAACCCGCUCGGGACCCCUCUCUGUGAUGGAGAGCUGUUCUUUUCUUUUGCCUAUUAAACUCCUGCUCCAAA